GUCUGUAAGAUCUCCCAUAGGAAAGGAUUAUUUUUGCAGCAAUUUAGUUUGGCAGUGACAGUAACGGACAGAACAAGAAGCUAAUUAAUAAGAAUUUGAUUUGAUUGUAGACCACAUCUAACCAAAGCUAGAAGGAACGCUUUUUUUCCUCUGACCUUUCAUUGUGUGUGUGCUUAGUCGCUCAGUCAUGUCUGACUCUUUGCAACCCCAUGGACUGUGGCCCGACAGGCUCCUCUGUUCAUGAGAUUUUUCAGGUUGCCUGGAAUGUGAGUAGAAAAACCAGACCUAUCAGUUAGGCCAUAAUGUCUGCAAAGAAAUGAUAAAAUGCUAGAGCAUGAGAUGGGAAACCUGAAACACAGAAAGAUUGUCACUUUCCAA
ensembl:lncRNA